rnacentral:lncRNA from 1 species
GGAUAUGAAACACUGACCUUAGUGCAAUGCUCUGCCGGAAAAAGAUAUAGAAAACUGAGUCUUGACGGGCUCAGUCGUGGGGGCGUGACCGCGUGAGUCGUGAGGCGGAGAACUGGUGAAGGCUUGACUGCUUGAGUCGUGUGGCCGGUGGCGGACUGGCAGAGAACUGGUGAGGUCUGACUUCUGAGGGUGAGGACUGAGGGUGAGGAACUGAGUGAGUAAGGCGGACAACGGACUGUUAGUAUAUGAAAAUGAAACCCUACUAUUACUAGUAUAUAGUUAAGUGUAAACUAGUAAAUUAGUAAAACCUUAUUGGGUUAUCAGUUUACCCAAUAACGAAAUUGCUAAACCGAGCCCGAAUCGAUAACCUAAUAAAAAAAAACUUACCCGUUAUUGAACCGUUAACCCAAUAAUCCGAUACCGAUAACUCAAUAAGUAAUUAACGGUUCGGGUUAUCGGUUUUAACCAUAUAUGCCCACGCUUGCGUUGGAGAAGGAGAGGAAUGAAAUGCAUUUAACUCAAAAUUUAAAGAGAUGAUGAAGUUUAGUAAAAGUUGAAAGAAGAAAGCGGAUUGAAUAUCACUGCUGAGAGAAACAUGAGCAUAAGUAGGUUAAAAAAAAGGUAGUGUAGGACCCACUCUUAAGUAAAAUUGGGUAAAAAAGAUAGAAAUGAGAUGGUGAAAUCGGAAACACAUAAGUGUCCGAGAGAUAAAAGGAGGGAGCUGACAUGUGGGACCUAUAUUUCCACUUGUCAAAUAGGCAGAGGUGCCUCAUACAAGUUUUGUUGGUUGAGUCUAAUCAAAAUAAAAUUUCUCGUCAAAUAGACACUGUAUUUGUCGAAAUUGCAGGUCGGUCACUAUUUUAAUUGAAAUUGCAUGUUAGUCCCUUCUUUUCUCAUUAAUUAUUAUAUGUCCCUGUUUCAACGUUUUUUCUUCUUCUUCUUCUUCUUUCCACCUUUUUCUUUUCUUUUAAUUUUAAUGCGAUAAGAAAUCAGUGCUAAUAAGGGGAGACAUUCUCUAGCUUGCUUUCAUAAAAAUUCCAUGUCGCAAAGUUAUGGCCGCCGACAAGCUUUAUUGGCAGAUGCGAUACAUGAUUAAACUGAACAAUAACAUUAGAAUUGCUGCUAGUGGAGUCAACAUUUAUUACAUUAGGGGCCAUUUUAAGUGUGAGUCUGUGUGGCAGUCAGAGGAUCUAAAAUAAAACUCGUGAGAGUCAAGGAGAUCGCUCUGAGACCAUAUAAUGGAGAAGUUUUAUUGUGUGCCUCACACAACUGACAUUAAUUGUGUGAGGCGCUUUUUUUGUCUCACAAAUUGGUGGACCCAAAUGAGCAAGAUGAAACAAAAAAAAUAAUUUUGUUAAAUGAUGAUGAGCUGAUUAUAUACACAAACAAGUUACAGAGGCCUAGUUAACAGACCAGAAAGCAAGAAAAAACAAACUCCUUAAAUGAUGGGAACAAAAUAACAACAUAUGCAAUAAAACAAAGUAGAUACACAAAUUUUACAAAGCAGUAACAAUAACUCCUAAUAUGUCAGGCGUUAAUUAUUAAAUACCUUCGAGUGGCAAGCAGGACGACAAAGAGGCCCCUUACUCCCGCUUUGAAAUAGUAGGAACUAUUACAGUAUUUCUUUAGGGGGUAAAAGUAUAUGGUAUUCUUUUCUACUACUCCAUCUUAACAGGGGUGAAAUUACAUACUCCUUUUGAGGUUUAGCCGGACACCAAAUGCUCCAAUCAAGCAUGCCCAGCUCCACAAACCAAGUAAAAAAUCUUGACACUGGAACUGACUACAAGCAAGCAAGGGAAGGGAAUUAUUGUGAAAUUAGUAGGGUUGCUCAAUGGAACUUUCCAAAUGGACAUCUGAGAUAGCAUCAAGACGAGCACAAAACAGAUCUAGCCGCGAUCUAUUUCAUAGUCCAAUAGCUAAAAUACAAGCUCAUCAACGAGCCUAUAUACAAAAAUACUAUUGCUGCAAGCAUCCUUGACAAUGGCUUCCCAUGACUCAAAGUCAAACCUUUUCUUCCUUUUCUCCAUUUCCUCCAAAACAAAGCAAGCAUCUUCAACCUUCUCUUUAUCAAGCAGGCCAAGAAUCAUACACCUUACUGUUUCUACACGCGGAAAAUGCCCGCUAAUCAACAUUGCAUUCAAAACCUUCAAACCUUCCUCAAAUUCUCCUGUUUUACAAAACCCAUCAACCACCAUUCUAUAUGUAGUUGCAUUAGGAUUGCAACCUGCAAUUUGCAUAUCAACUAAUAUCCUAUACGCUUCAGCAGUUUUACAUUCCUUACAGAAAUAAUUGAUUAACAUAUUAUAGAUCACAACGUCGGGCUUAAUGUGCCUCUUUUUCAUCUCCACGAGUAAACUAUUUGCCUCACCAAUGUCGCCUCGUUUUAAAAGAUCAGUCAUCAAAACACCAUAAUUGACUAUUUUCAGCUUACAUCCUUGGUAUUCCAUAUCAAACAUUAACUUCUUGGCUUCUUUAUACUUACCCAAAGAACUCAAACCUUCCAUCAACAAAGCAUAAGAAACUGCAUUUGGCUUCUUUCCCUUUCUAACCAUAUCCUGAAACAAACUUUUAGCGCCUUCAACAUCCCCCUUCUUACACAAAAAUCCAAUUUGACAAUUGUAAGUUACCACAGUCGGCUCAAUUUCUCUUUCAAUCAUUUCAUCAAACACUUGGCGUGCCAGUUCCCAGUCAUCCUUUUCCAGCCACAUCUUAAUAAUAAUGUUAAACGAAACACCAUUUAACCAAAUACCCAUUUUCGAACAAUUCCUUAACAUCUUAUUUGCAUCAUCAGAACGUCCAUUAUCAACAAGCACAUUUAAAAGUGCAUUAAAAGACUGUACACUACGCGUACAAUUAAACGACGCCAUGUUGUGAAAAAGCUCAAUAGCUUUAUCAACCAACUGGGCUUUGCCGUAAUGUUGAAUCAACCCGACAAAAACCUUCUCUUGACAUCGAAUAUAAUAUGUUUUUAAAUACCCAAGAAGGGUUUCAACAGCUUCGAAGUCUCGAGACUUAGCGAGCUUAUAAAUAAGACAAGCAUAAGUAGGGUAGUCAUGUUUGAACCCGGUUUGCUGGUAAUCAUGGAACAGUGAAAUAGCUUCAUCAGGAUCUUGGAUUUGUUUGAGGUUAGCAAGUAGUGGUAUUGGCUUGCGAAGUAGGUUUUUUGUAGGCUUAUGAGGCCUUUCAAGUGAGGAUUUUGAGGUGGGUUUAUGAGAACGAUGAUGACUAUGGUAUGGUUGGGAUGGGAAAAUUGAGGUUCUGAAUUGUGCAAGGUUGUUAAUUUUGAGUUUUGAGGGAGUUGUGCUAGCUUGUUUGAUUCUUGAAUUGAUCAUGGAAUGUAGGAGGUAGAGGUCAGAUUACAGUUUCAAGUGUUAGAUGAAAGAUCUGUGGAGGGAAAAUGUGUUGCUUAAACUUGGAAGCACAUUUGAAAGCUUAUGCACUCGAUAAUCCUGUUUAAAAGAACAAAAAUCGAAUGUGUCAGUGUUAGGGUUUUAAUAAGGACAACAUCAGACAAAUAUCACGAUUAAUAAGAACAAAUAAAAUACAAUAAAUAUUUGUAGUUUUGUGUGUGUGUGUGUGAAAUAUCGAGAGAGAGAGAGAGAGUAUUGUUGACGAAUAGGUGCAGCCCUUUUGCCAUCUGAGUUCAGAGAGUAGCGUUGUAUCAUCACGUCAAAAAGGAGAAAUUUUAUUUUGAGUGAGACUCAACCAACAAAACUUGUAUGAGGCACCUCUACCUAUUUGACAAGUGGAAAUAUGGGUCCCACAUGUUUCCAUCCCCUUUCUCAAUUCCCUCUCUCAUAUUUUUACCAACUUUACGAGAUGACAAAAUGAAAAAGCAAUCAACUUUUCUCCUCUAUCUUCUACUCCUUUUCCUAAAAGGAAGAGAACAUGUGGAUUUUUAGGGUCGUUUGUUCGUGUAUGCUUGUCCAAAUUCAAGAGUCUAAAAAGAAGAAUGACUGAAUUUUUCUCUCUGUAUUUUAAAAUAGAAAAAUGAUGGGCAAAAUAUUUUUGCGGGAGAAUCAUUGAUUUUUUGAGAUAUCUAUGCUUUCUAGUUCCUAAUUUGUAAUUGUCGGAUCAAUAGUUUGGUUGAAGCUUAUUAAUCUGACAUCUCACUGGUGUGCAGUGAUGUAAACUCAACUUCACAUUUAUCAUUUUAUUUUAAUAUUGUUGCUUGGAUACAACUUUGAAUAUCUUUAGGUUUAAAGACCUUUUCUUUUGUGAUGAUAUGGGAUUCUAGGUUUGAAUUUUUACGUGUAUUUUAUUUUCUGCAAUAAUUAGGGGCGGCCCUUCCAUAAAGCAAGUAAAGCAACCGCUUUAGGCCCCAUAUUUGUGGAGGCUCCAUUUUAUGUUACAGCUAAUAGACUAUGUAUAAGUUUCAAAAAAGGUUCUGUAAANNNNNNNNNNNNNNNNNNNNNNNNNCCACAAGAAAGGUUAAAUGGAUUAUGAAGUGAAAUACUUAUUAGGAGUUACUGAUUAUAAGAAAACCAUUAAUAACUUUGUAUCUAAGAAAAGUUAAAAAAAAUAGACUUGAAAUAAAUAUUAAAAAAAAAUAAAAAGUUAAGGCCCCUCAAAAAGUUUGGCUUUAGGCUACAAAAUACGUCGGGCCGCCCCUGGCAAUAAUUGAAAAUUGUUGGAUUCUUGGUGGCAUAUGCUAAAUUUGAAUCGUUGUUUGAGUUGAAAGUGUUAAUUAAAAUAUUUGAUGGUUGGAUUCUGCGAGACUGCGUUGGAGUAGGGGUGGGCAUCGGUCAGUUCGGUUCGGUUUUGAAUAUUAUCUGUUUUGCCUAUCGGUUAUCAGUUUACAAAUAUCAUAACCUGAUAACCAAACCGAUAAAAUAUUGGUUAUCAAUUAUCGGUUUACCCGAUAAGGUAAAACUAAAACUAACAGUGCUGAACGCUGAAUAUUACCUAAAAUUAAGAGUGUUGAACGCUAAUAUUUGUACAAAGUAAUAUUUGUACAAAGUUUACUGGAAGCUGCUAUAUAUGACACUUUAAGGUAAGGACCAAGGAGCGGGUGUGGAUUUCAAUCCAACAAAAGAAAUUCUCAAUAUACCAUUUUCAGUAUAAAACUAAAAGCUAAACUACAGCUGAGUAACAAUUUUAAAGGUUCCAAAAUGAGAUUUAAACUUCUAUUCAGUAUCAAGAAUCAAGAUCUUGUGGCAGAACUACAAGCAUGUGAAGAAUGUCACAAAGCUGCACAUAGAACAACAAUUCAAAGUUGCACAUAGAAAAAUUAAACACAUAUUGACAACACCCAUAAUCAUAUAGUCAUAAUUCUAAAGGAAAAACCAAAAAAUAUUAAAUUUUUGCCUCAAACUAAAUAUACCCAGUGGCCAGUACCUCAAUUGCCCACAUACAAAGUGCAAACAGCUCAAAAUUCCAAUCUAACAAAAAUAGGAGAUAAAAAGAUCCCAACUUUCACAAUCCAAAAACAGAUGGUACAUACAGUAAUGUCCAAACUCCAAAGUAAUAGUUCAAACACAUUAAUAACAAUACAAAGUAGUAGCAACCUUAAGAUUAACAAGUUCAAAGUCCAAACAUAAUACUAAUAGUUCAAAUUCAAGUAAACAACACAACAACUACUCAAUCCUUAUAGGCUUCACCAAAUUGCGCUCCAAACAACGUUCAACAUGCCUCAUUUUAAAAUCUUAAAAUAGAACACAUAUAACUACACAUAAAAAAGAAAAUAUGAUAACAGAAGGUUUGCUUUCAUUACUACAAAGUAUUGAACUGCUUCAUGCUUCUCUUAGUUUCAAUAGAGAUAAAGAAACAUCAUUUCACAUAUAGUGCAUGUCACUAAUUCUGCGUCAGAUGGUAACUAAAGAAGACUACGACAUAUGCUUUUAUGGCUUUGAAAUCUGGAAUCAUUUUAAAAAGAUGUAAAUUUAAUUUAUUUGUUAAAGAAUAACAUGAGCUGUAAGUCCCAAAAUAAGAUUUCGCAGUAAUUCCAUAGCUUUCAGCCAUCUAACUCCUAUAAGUGAUGGCUAAGCAAAAAAUUCAAAUAGUACUUCAAAUGAAGAGAUGUAAGGACUGUGAUAAACAAUCAACUAAGAUAAAUUCAAACAAUCAGUGUAGUAUAAAUUCAAGAAACCAAACAUUUUAGGGAAACCAUUUUUCGAGCUUCAUAAAAAGGAAAAUAUGCAAAAAUUGAUUUCUAAGAUACCAAACUAAGACGAAUUCAGAAAUGGGAUAUGAAACACUGACCUUAGUGCAAUGCUCUGCCGGAAAAAGAUAUAGAAAACUGAGUCUUGACGGGCUCAGUCGUGGGGCGUGACCGCGUGAGUCGUGAGGCGGAGAACUGGUGAGGGCUUGACUGCUUGAGCCGUGUGGCCGGUGGCGGACUGGCAGAGAACUGGUGAGGUCUGACUUCUGAGGGUGAGGACUGAGGGUGAGGAACUGAGUGAGUGAGGCGGACAGCGGACUGGCGUCUGGCGACUGGCGACUGGCGACUGGCGGAGAAAGCAAAA